rfam:Schistosoma mattheei strain Denwood, Zambia genome assembly, scaffold: SMTD_scaffold0013560
AGCCUUUUCAAUUCGUAAUGAGAUCUUGCCAGACACUAGAUAAUCAGGACUGAUGAGACUCUCAAGAUAAAUAAAGCG